rnacentral:rRNA from 1 species
UACGAAGGGGGCGAGCGUUGUUCGGAAUUACUGUGCGUAAAGCGCGUGUAGGCGGCUUGGUAGGUUUCGUGUUAAAUCCCUCGGCUCAACCGAGGAAUCGCACGGAAAACCACCUCGCUAGAGUCCGGAAGAGGGAAACGGAAUUCCAGGUGUAGCGGUGAAAUGCGCAGAUAUCUGGAAGAACACCCGUGGCGAAGGCGGUUUUCUGGGACGGUACUGACGCUGAGACGCGAAAGCGUGGGGAGCGAACAGG